rnacentral:tRNA from 1 species
GCCUGGGUGGCUUAGUUGGUGAAGCAUCUGACUCUUGAUUUCGGCUCAGGUCAUGAUCUCAUGGUUGGUGGGUUUGACCCCUGCCUCAGGUU